UUAAGUUCAGCGGGUAUUCCUACCUGAUCCGAGGUCAAACUUUCAGAAGUGGGGGGUUUAACGGCGUGGCCGCGCUGCGAUCCAGUGCGAGUGUUGCUACUACGCAGAGGAAGCUACAGCGAGACCGCCACUAUCUUUCAGGGCCUGCGGUCACCCGCAGAUGCCCCAACGCCAGGCCGGCUAGGGCCUGAGGGUUGAAA
rnacentral:misc_RNA from 1 species